UCGCUUAGGUUCUAUUUGGAUGCAUGAAUAUCUUAUUCAAUAUAUCCUCUUGAUAUGCUCAAAAAAUUAUAUAUUUGAUUGCAAUUGACAAAGAAUGCAAUAAAAUAUUUAAAAUAAAAUACCAAAUUCAAACUUCAAGUUUAUUUUUUCAAACUAAAAUAAAUUACCUUGCAGAAGAGAUAUGCUGAAGUGGUAAAAAUCAAACUUCUUAGUUACAAUCGUACUAGAAAAUCCUCACAUUCUAGCCCAUCCAAACAGAAACUUGAUGUAUCC
rnacentral:lncRNA from 1 species